rnacentral:rRNA from 1 species
UACGUAGGGGGCUAGCGUUGUUCGGAAUUACUGGGCGUAAAGGGCGCGUAGGCGGUGUGUCAAGUCAGGCGUGAAAGCCCCGGGCUCAACCUGGGAACCGCGCUUGAGACUGGCGGACUCGAGUUCGGGAGAGGAUGGUGGAAUUCCCAGUGUAGAGGUGAAAUUCGUAGAUAUUGGGAAGAACACCGAUGGCGAAGGCAGCCAUCUGGACCGACACUGACGCUGAGGCGCGAAAGCGUGGGGAGCAAACAGG